UCCGAUGUGGUCUAGUGGUUAGGAUUUCUGGGUUUCACCCAGACGGCCCGGUUCGAUUCCGGCAUCGGAG
rnacentral:tRNA from 1 species